rnacentral:lncRNA from 1 species
CCCAUCUUGUCUACAGUGAUAUUGAAAGAAUGGGGAAUAUCUUGCAUGGUGAUUUACUGUGUUCACUGAAAUGAGAUGCAAUAUUUCCUGACAUUUAAUGAUUAUUUGUUUUUUUUUUACACACUUACUCUUUUUAGCAGACAAAUACAAGAGUAACUUAUAAUUUGAGUGUUAAAAUACAUUUUAAAAGCUGUUCUGUGCUCAUAAAUAUGCAUCAUAGAUACAACAUUUGACUGAAGAAUUGAAUUUUUGUGACUUUUCUAUUUGUGGCAGCACCAGAGAAAAUUUCAAAAAUGAUGGUGUCGUCUGAAGAAAGAAAAAAAAAAAAGCAAAAAUCUGGAUGAGAAAUUAGGAGUUUCCUUGGGACCACAAUAUACUAAAGGGUGGAUUUCAGAUUGAUUCUAAGACUGCUUCACUAAUCGAAGGUUCCCAGUGAGAUGGAGACCUGAAUCAACAUCCUACUUGAAUGCGGACGAGUAAAAACUUUUUCACAGAUUAGCACCUAUGUCAACAGAAAUGAAAACGAGAUGAAGGAAAGACAUCAGAAAAAUGACCCGGGGACUCUGACUAAGGGAGUGAAAGAAAAUGUCUUCAAAGACGACUCUCAGGUACUUCCAUAAACAUCAGGCUAACUCUUCUUUACCUCCACAAAAGAAGAAAACCAAUGCACCCACGAAUGUCCAGCUAGCCUCUGAAAUACUCUGACUCCAGGUCUUAAAAAGACCUUUCCAACAACUAGAUAUGCCUCUGGGCGGAUUCAGAUUCUCUUGCUUAUUUGCAACUGUGUGACUCAACUGAACGUUGCUUGGCCUUAGUGGUGAACUAGCCCUGCCCAGCUUAUAGAUUUGAGAGGUAGUUUUCCUUUAUUAGCUUUUUGAAUGUACAAUGCAAUAGGCUCCAGGGAAUUUGAAUAGAACAUCAACUUCAUGCCCCCCAUUGCAUUCCUCUGGCCUUAGCCUCAUGGUUUCAAAUUCAUAACACAGCACAUUCCUUCCUGCUCCUGCCUGACCCCUCUUUACAAAGGACUCUCGCUGGAAAGGACAAACUUCCUCAGGCUCUCCGUGACCUACCGCUCUUCCACUGAUGAGAUGCCCUUAUUUGAUGUUUAUCUGUUUGUUGGUCUUUAAUUUGGAUUGCAUGUUUGCCUAGUUGCUGUUUUAGCUUUUGUGGUAUAUUUUUAAAUCUCUUUUUAAAGUUUCCUAAGUAGUGGGAUUAUCGACAAAUGCCUCGGAGAAUCACAGCCUCAGUCAUUCUCAGCUGAGAAUGCUAUAUUCAACCUGACGUGAAGCUCCUAACUUUCUCCUUUUCCUUGGUAAUGUCUCUCAGAUAUUUAUCUUUCUAUUCCCAGAGCUUCCCUAGACUUUUAAAAUGGGUCUAUCUGCCUCUUCCCAUAUUCACUGAUACCAAAUCAAUCUGAAACACCAUGAUUAUAAUACCUUUCUACUUAAACAUCUUCAGUAGAUGCUCAUCUGAGAGUAAAAUCAAGUGAUUUAGACUGUUACCAACCCAAUGUCAACAGCCUAUUGAUGUUGCAAAUUUAUUCAAGUGGAAACAAUUUGCAGUUCUCGAAAACUUUCUUUACAACUUGACAACAGGAGUAUUUAUCGUCUUUGGUGCUUCCCCAUAAAAUGGCUUCUUUAACCAAAGGUUAUGUUUUUAAAAUUAUCUUCUGCUUUUGAGAAAAGUACGUGUAAAUGAGAGCACAGCUUUAGAGAAGCGCAUACACCAGGGCAGAGAAGUCAUUCUAACUCUGGAGGUGGGCUCUUUUGCGGAGUGACGUGCUCUUUAUCCCUUCUGUGGAUUGUCAGUCCAGAAUUCAGCCUGACCCUGAACUGGCCCGACUCAAACACGAGACCAGCAUAUGUCGUUACGUAUAUACUGGCGGCAAUGCCCUCCCCACACCUCUGUCAUUUUCACCUAGGGAAGCCGGAGUGAGAGUCACUGAAAUGUGACUGCUUUCUCCGGUCAAAACCAAGCCUGUUCUGGGCAGGCAAGACAGCAGCAGAUGUUGGUUUGGGUUCAUUCUGAAGGCCUCCAGAUGGGAUAAAUGUUCAAGUUUCCUCAUGAGUGGGCCUUCCUCGGGUCUUCCUCAGGGCCAUCCCAGAGCUAGCCUGCUUUUGAGAGCUGCUUCGUGGGUUACACGGGUUUGCUUUCAGACUUGGAUCCCAGUAAGAACUCACAUGAAGGACUUAAUUAACCCAUCUUUCUCCCACUUUCACUAUAAUGUGUAUGUGUGUGAUGUGUAUAUAUAGUAUACGUAGUGUAUAUACGUGUGUAUGUAAUAUACACACACACCCACCCAGAAACACACACACACAUUUUAUACAGAGGGAGAAUCUUUUCUUCCAUCUAACAGAGUUGCGUAGGCUCAAAUUUCCUUCCAUAGUUUAACGGCCAACAACAACAAAAACAAACAAUCCCCUCCAUCUUGUCACCGGUUACCGCAAGACUUUUCCCACAUUGCUAAUUUGUAACAGCCUCGUAUCUGUUGUUGAGGUGAAGUGGAACACAACUACUAACCCCGUCAUGACUAAACAUGUAGGCAUAAAUCACUCCUUGAUCGUCCUUCCUGAGGAGGGACUUGUGCACAAACAGCGAACCCGGAACGGCGGGCUGAUGCGGAAUCUUAAUGGCAAUAAUGUGAUUUGCAACAGCAACAGCGAAAGAUUUUACAUGUGAGGACAGGAAAAUCCAGACAGGGGCUCUGACUCUCACAGUCAUGCAGUUAGGAGUAAGCGACACAAUCGCGACCGGAACCCAGGUUUUUAGUUUCAUCUCAUGAGUGUCAAUGACUUGGGAAACGGAGACUGCCUUCCCCAACCCAGAGAGAGCUCCAAAGAGAAGUGCAGUGUCCACACUGGUUCUGCAUUUGCAGCCUCAAGAUAUUCUGACACCACUCUAGGAUCCUGAAACAUAGGCCAGGGACUUUCUCUGUGCUGAACACCUUCCUGGGAGGCUGAGGAGUUACGGGAUCCAGGAGUGAGAGCUGCUGGCAUUGCUUUUAUUUUAUUGUCAGAGGAAUGAGCCACAGAUGCUGCAAAGUCUCCAGAAAACACUCAUUUGUCAAUCUUCAGUUCUGUGAUUGUAAAACAUGAAAAGUUCUCUUGCACUGAUCGUCCAUGUGUAAACUUAUUGCUUUAUUAUCAAUCGUUUUAAAUGGCUGGUGUACACAGCUUAGUGUUAGGGUAAAUAUCUGACAAUCACCGUGUAAGGGAAGCUGAUGAUGCACACAGAUAUGAGGCCAUCAAAUCAUCUAAUCUAGACAGUUGCAGAACGAGUUUAAAGAGGAAACUGGACACUUGUGGAAGCUGCAUUUACUCUUGAACCGUUAUGGAACAAGUUAGCACAUCCGGAAUAUUGACUUGCCAAAUGGAACACCCUGAAAGAGUUAAUUCAACCUUGCAACUAUCAACACACUCCAGGGACACAGCCGAUGAACUGAGAAAAUCUGACUAAUCUGUUUUUAUUUUUUGUGCAAUUUUUUGAGUAAUCUGAACAACAUACUCUUUCCCCAGUUCCUUUUCUCCUUUGAAACCUGGGCA